UACAGAGGUCUCAAGCGUUGUUCGGAAUCACUGGGCGUAAAGGGUGCGUAGGCGGCGGAGUAAGUCGGGUGUGAAAUUUGAAGGCUCAACCUUCAACUAGCACUUGAUACUGCUUUGCUAGAGAUCUGAAGAGGAGCUUGGAAUUCUCGGUGUAGCAGUGAAAUGCGUAGAUUUCGAGAGGAACGCUCGCAGCGAAAAGCGAAGCUCUGGUCAGAUUCUGACGCUGAGGCACGAAGGCUAGGGGAGCGAACGGG
rnacentral:rRNA from 1 species